GACGAACGCUGGCGGCGUGCCUAAUACAUGCAAGUCGAGCGGACCAAAGGGAGCUUGCUCCUGGAGGUUAGCGGCGAACGGGUGAGUAACACGUGGGCAACCUGCCUGUAAGACUGGGAUAACAUCGAGAAAUCGGUGCUAAUACCGGAUAAUAAAAAGAACUGCAUGGUUCUUUUUUGAAAGAUGGUUUCGGCUAUCACUUACAGAUGGGCCCGCGGCGCAUUAGCUAGUUGGUGAGGUAACGGCUCACCAAGGCGACGAUGCGUAGCCGACCUGAGAGGGUGAUCGGCCACACUGGGACUGAGACACGGCCCAGACUCCUACGGGAGGCAGCAGUAGGGAAUCUUCCGCAAUGGACGAAAGUCUGACGGAGCAACGCCGCGUGAGUGAUGAAGGUUUUCGGAUCGUAAAACUCUGUUGCUAGGGAAGAACAAGUGCCGUUCGAAAGGGCGGCACCUUGACGGUACCUAACGAGAAAGCCACGGCUAACUACGUGCCAGCAGCCGCGGUAAA
rnacentral:rRNA from 1 species